AUGUCACCUCUUCUCUUCAAUAUUGUGGCAGAUAUGCUGGCCGUCAUUAUUGGCAGGGCCAAGCAACAUGGCCAUGUAGAAGGUCUAGUUCCUCAUCUGAUUGAUGGAGGAGUGUCCAUUCUACAAUAUGCGGAUGACACUAUCCUUUUCAUGGAACAUGACAUGGCUAAGGCACGUAACAUGAAACUUAUCUUAUGUCUUUUCGAACAAUUGUCUGGAUUAAAAAUCAAUUUUCAUAAGAGCGAGGUGUUCUGCUUUGGGAAGGCCAAAGAAGAGGAACAUACUUACAGACAAUUGUUUGGAUGCGAAUUAGGUGCUUUACCAUUCAGUUACUUGGGUAUUCCGAUUCACCACCGUAAACUAUCCAAUAAGGAAUGGAAAUGUAUUGAAGAACGAAUUGAAAAAAAACUCAGUUGUUGGAAGGGCAAGCUGAUGUCAUAUGGAGGUCGACUAGUUUUGAUUAACUCCGUAUUGACUAGCACGCCAAUGUUUUUACUUUCGUUCUUCGAAAUUCCGAAAGGGGUCAGAAAGCGGCUUGAUUUCUUUAGAUCUCGUUUCUUUUGGCAAUCUGAGGAGUCCAAGAGGAAGUACCGUCUCGCACGAUGGGAUAUCCUUUGUCGACCUAAAGACCAAGGGGGGCUCGGUAUUGAGAACUUGGAAAUUAAGAAUAAAUGCCUUAUGAGCAAAUGGUUGUAUAGGUUAGAGACAGAGCCGGAGGGCAUGUGGUCUCAAAUCCUGCGCAAUAAGUAUUUGCACUCGAAAACGCUAGCCUAG
rnacentral:rRNA from 1 species